CGGACGACGCUGGCGGCGUGCUUAAUACAUGCAAGUCGAACGGAGCCUAGCCGGUAGUUUACUACAGGCGAAAGCUUAGUGGCGGACGGGUGAGUAACGCGUGGGCAAUCUGCCCCUAAGUCCGGGAUAACAGAGCGAAAGUUCUGCUAAGACCGGAUACUCUUCCUUGGUCGCAUGGCGGAGGAAGGAAAGGAUACGCUUAGGGAUGAGCCCGCGUCCCAUUAGCUAGUUGGUGAGGUAACGGCCCACCAAGGCGACGAUGGGUAGCCGGCCUGAGAGGGUGGACGGCCACACUGGGACUGAGACACGGCCCAGACUCCUACGGGAGGCAGCAGUAGGGAAUUUUGGACAAUGGGCGAAAGCCUGAUCCGAGCCAUUCCGCGUGCAGGAUGAAGGCCCUCGGGUUGUAAACUGCUUUUCCCCGGGAAGAAUAAGCCCCCCGCGGGGGGUGAUGCCGGUACCGGGGGAAUAAGGAUCGGCUAACUCCGUG
rnacentral:rRNA from 1 species